rnacentral:misc_RNA from 1 species
CAUUUUUCGAUUUUCCCCGACUUUCUCCGACGAUGCGAUGGCGAUAGCGAUGGUGAUUCCGGUGACUUAUGCUCCGACGAUUGACACGAUCAUUUGAGGCAGUCUCCUUUGUCCAGAUUUUCUUCUUCAACCUCUUUCUCUUGCUUACCCACCAAAUUCAUCAUCUUUGAAACUGCUUCAUCCCUUUCGCUUUGGUGAUUCUGAAGACUCCGCUUUAUACCCAUUUUGAUCUUUAUGGCACAUCGAACAAGGAGAUAUUAUCUUAUAGAAGAAUGCUUCCAAGUUAGUUGCUUUUGUGCUAUAUCUUGAGGACUUAAGGCUUAUGGUUAGUGUUCAUACUUUGUUUUCUUGUUUGGUCUAUAAUAGACACUACUGGUUGAAUUAGAAUCUGGAACCGACAUUAGUGUUUUUGUUGGCCAAUAUUUUGUUACUGCGAUGAAAUGAAAAAAUCACGAGCUGAUGAUGGCUAUGAUGAAGCUUAUUGGGUCUGAUGAUUUGGGUAUUAAUAAUAAACUCCUUAGAUUUAGUCAAACUAUGAUCCUACAGGACCUCCUCAUCUCUUAGCAACAAUGUAAUCUAUUACUAGGGAAGAACAAAAACAAUAAUCUAUUUUAUGGUGAUUGAUGCUUGAUUGGAACAAUUAGGCAAUGAUGCUUUCAGAUUUAGAAAGUCUUGAUUUUGGAUUUAGUCUUGGUGGACGUAAUAUGGUCGGCGUUAGGAGCAGUGGAGACUUUGAAUUUCAUGUGAUUAAAUUGUGAUUAUGCAACAUUUCCCUAUGCUCUUAAGACUGUGAUUAAACAAAACUUUACUAUAGUAGCGAAAAGCAACGGUCAGUUUCAUACAUGAUAGUUGAUGAUAACUGUGUGUGUGAAUGCAUGUAUAUUAAUAGCAUUCCGGUGAAUCAUAACUUCAUUCUACCACCAUUCAAGAUUUAGCAAAUACAGACACUAACUACGAAAUGAGAUUCAUUGGAUAUAACCAAAUUCCAAGCACUCCUAGUCCUCUUGGCUUUGGGACACUUUUAAGCUCUGUCAAUCUUUAUUUCUGUUUUGAACUGAACGUUUGUUGUCAUUGGCUGCAAAAGCUGUCAUUUGGCUAAUGAUCGAAUUGUGGAAACAAAGGAUAAUUAUAGAAUGGUUCAAAGAAGUUGGUUUCUUCUUGGUUUAAAUCUUGUUUCUUCAAUGUUCAAAUACUUUUGAUGUCUUUUAUUAAUUUUUAUGAAACAAUUUUUUUUUUCCUAAGAACCUAAUUAGAGAGACUAACCAUUGGACUAAGAAAACUUAAAAUAAAAAACACAAGUUCUCAUCUAACAAAAUUUCAAAUAAUUUAUACUAAAACAAUUGGUGAGAGCCCAUGGGGGACUCUCACCGUUGGAGAUGCUCUAAAGUUUCUUCUACGUUUGAAAUAAUACAUUCUGAUUUGUGGACUUCUCCUAUUCCUAGUCUAUCCGGAAUUCGUUACUAUGUUUUGUUUCUCGAUCAAUUCUCUCAUUUUCUAUGGAUUUAUCCUCUUCGCAAUAAGAGUGAUGUGUUCUCAAAAUUUCUGCAAUUUCAUACCUAUGUCAAAACACAAUUCGAGAAACACAUUAAAUCUCUACAGUGUGAUAAUGGUGGUGAGUAUAAAAACUCACAGUUUCAUGAUUUCUUUGCUAAACACGGGAUACAGUUUCGUUUUUCGUGUCCAUACACCUCUCAACAAAAUGGCAGAUUGGAACGCAUGAUACGAACCCAUCAACAAUGCUUUUUGCACUAUGCUGCUUCAAGCUCAUCUUCCCAAUACGUUUUGGGUAGAAGCUCUAAGGGCAUCUCCAAUAGUAAUCUCUAUAUUUUCCUCUAUUUAUAGAGAUGACUCUAUUUUAAAGACAUUGUGCUCCAAUGGUCACCUUUAAAAUAGAGUUUCCUCUGAAAUAGAGGAAAAAAUAGAGAUAUAUACUUUUUGUCUCUAUAAAUAGAGAUCUCUACAAUUCAUCUCUAUUUUUUCCUUUAUUUUUGAGGAAACUCUAUUUUAGAGGUGACCACUGGAGCACAAUGCGUCUAAAAUAGAGUUCCCUCUAAAAUAGAGAAAAAUAUAGAGGUGAUCAUUGGAGAUGGUCUAAAUAAUGCAGUUCACAUUCUCAAUCUCCUUCCAUCCACUUCUAUCGAUAACAAAAUUCAUUUCUCAGUGUUAUUCAACAAAACACCAUCUUACUCUCAUCUUAGAGUUUUUGGUUCUCUUUGUUAUCCUCACACAAAUAAUCAAAACAAACUUGAUCCAAGGUCAUCACCAUCAGCUUUCCUAAGUUAUCCUCUACUUGACUCAGGGUAUAGAUGUUUUGAUUUAAAAACACGGAAAAUUGUGAUAUCUCGUCAUGUCACAUUUUAAGAGGAUAUCUUCCCUUACCAAAUCACCAAUGCUAAAAUCGACUCUGCUUAUGACUUUCUUGAAGCGGAUACAGAGCCUUCUCAAAUUCAAAAGCAGCUUUUGCUUACACCUUCUCUUCCAGCGACAAAUGAAACAGAUCUAGUUUUGACUGCUCUUGCUCCUCAUGUAGCGACUCAACCACCACCACAGCGUAUGGUGACUAGAUCGCAGCAGGGCAUUCGUAAACCAAAGAAAAUUCUCUCACUAAAUGCUCAAACACUUUCCCAAAUUCCAAAGGGUUAUAAGCAAGCUCUAAUGGAUCCGAAUUGGAAUCCUUCAAUGACAGAAGAGUAUGAUGCUUUGAUUAAGACUUACACUUGGAGUUUAGUGCCUAAACCUGCAGGUACAAACAUCAUCAAUUCGAUUUGGUUGUACAAGCACAAGUUUAAUGCUGACGGCUCACUCUCUAGAUAGAAAUUCAGACUUGUCUCUAAUGGUAAAUUUUUGGAACAAGGAGUCAAUUUUGAUGAAACGUUUAGCCCAGUGGUUAAGCCUGCUACAAUUCGUGCAGUAUUGAACUUUGCGGUUGAACGACAUUGCCUGGUGCAUCAGUUGGAUGUACAAAACGCCUUUUUGCAUGGAGAGCUUGAAGAAACAGUUACAUGUAUCCACCAGCAGGGUUUGUUGACAAUAGGAAUCCGGGUUAUGUAUGCAAGCUAAAUAAGGCGUUGUAUGGCCUGAAACAAGCACCACGGGCUUGGAAUGCUCGGUUUGUAGCUUAUGUUAAAAGAUGGGUUUUGUGCAGAGUAAAUGUGAUGCUUCUCUAUUUGUGUACAAACACGGGCAAGACAAGGCCUACUUGUUGCUCUAUGUCGAUGACAUAAUGCUUACAACAUCCUCAUCCAGAUUCCUUGACUCCAUAGUCGACAAACUCAAAACGGAAUUCCCAAUGUUAGACACAGGUAAACUCAGCUUCUUUCUAGGCAUCUCAGUUAUGCUCGAUAGUAACGGCAUGUUCUUAUGCCAAGAAAACUAUGCAAAGGAUAUUAUUAAGAGGGCAGAGAUGCAAAACUGCAAACCCAGCCUCACACUGGUUGAUCUAGCUUCAAAGCUAGAAGAGAAUGUUGGACCAAAGAUACAAAACCCGACUCUGUAUAGAAGCUCGGCAGGAGCACUGCAAUAUUUAACUAUUACAAGACCGAAUAUAUCUUAUGAUGUCUAACAAGUCUGCUUGUUCAUGCAUGACCCAAGGGAAAUACACCUUCAUGCACUCUGACGUAUCUUCCGCUAUAUCAAGGGGUCUCCUUCUUAAGGUCUUAGUAUUACUAAGUCUCCAUCAACGAAAUUGGUCGCUUAUUCGGAUGCGGACUGGGCUGGGUGUCCAAACACGAGGCGUUCAACUUCAGGGUACUAUGAUUUCCUUGGUGAUACUCUAAUCUCUUGGUCGUCUAAGCGACAAGGCUCGGUUUCAAGAUCAAGUGCAGAAGCAGAAUAAAAGGCAGAGGCAAACGCGGUGGCAGAGACUUGUUGGAUACGGAACUUAUUGUUCGAGUUACAUUAUCCGUUAUCGCAGGCAAUGUUGGUGUUUUGUGACAAUGUGAGUGUCGUAUAUCUCUCUACCAAUCUUGUCAAGCAUCAGCGAACCAUGCAUGUUGAAAUAGACAUACACUUUGUGCGGGAGAAGGUCGCAAAAGGCGAGGUUCGUGUCAUUCACAUUCUUGCAACACAUCAAUACGCAUACAUUUUCACUAAGGGCCACAUUACUUCCCUGUUCAAUCAAUUCAAGUCAAGCCUUGACGUCAUUACAAGACCGAUGCUAAGACUGCGGGAGGGUAUCAGGAGAUAGGAUAUUCUUCUCAAUAUUCUUCUCAAUAUGUUUGUUAUAAGUUUAGUUACGACUUUGUUAAUAUCCUCAUGUACCUAGAAUGUAGGAAAGAUCUGUACUCUUGUAACUAAAUCGUGUAUAUAUUCACUCUAAUGCAAAGCUAUCUUCUCAAGGAGACUUACACAAUCUUACAGAAUCAGACAUCAAAAAUGAUGGUGGAUUUUUGAUAGAUGCUCCUUCUUUGCAGCUCUUGGAGAUUCAAGAAUAUCCAGAUGGGUUUUGUGGCAUUGAGCAUAGUAUGCCUAAGAUUGAAACCGCAAAUGUUUAUGUUACUCAUACUGAGCAGAUUCUUUCUUCUCUUACUUCAAUCAAGUAACUCGGAUUACGUUUAACGACAUCAAAGGUAAUUAUUAUUAGUUCUACUCUAUAUACUUAUUUAAGAAGAUUUUAUCAUUGUUAUAUUGGAUAAUAAACUCCCUUGACUGAAUUAUUAUGAGAGACACACAUAUAUAGAGAUAUAUAGAGAUACAAAGAGUUCUAGAAAGUUAUAUCUAAGGGUAUGUCAUGGCGUUAUUCCAAUGACUAUUCUUGGCCGCUUGAAUAUGCGAUAUUAGAGCGGGAGAAAUAGUGAUAUCAGUGUGAAGACAAAAAUGUUUUUUUGAUUUGAAGAUACAUUACUACGAUUUUGUAUAGUAUUAGUGGAAGUAGAAUUAGAAGUAGAAGUAUGAGAAGGAGGUACCAUAGGGCUUCUUUGUUAUCACGAAACAGAUUUUUGAUUGCAGACCAAAGGUCAUGAAUGGAGCACUUCGGUUUGAGGACGAUCUCAAGUAUGGACUCGGUAAUUGUCCCAUAGAUCCACAUUUUGACAAGAUCAUUGUGCUCUUUCCAAGAUUUUUCAGUUUCCGGCGUGGAGGAGGAAGUGUUGUCGAUGUGCCAAUAUAUUAGGGGCUGGUUUGGCUCGGUUCUCUUUAGUUACUCUUGGUAUAAUCAUCUACGAAUAUACUCUAACAGAUGCAUAUAUUCUUUGUAACUAGAAUUAGAUAGAUCUUCCUAGAUUCACGCUUUCGGUUGUACAUUGACUCUAUAUAUGUUGUAUGCUGUUCAUUGUGAUCAAUAACACGAAUCCAUUUGAUCUCUGAAAUCCUUUACAAGAACACCAAAACUGCUACUAUGCAUUUCAAAAAGCUCUCUCCAUGUAUCGUAGUUGAGUUUGGCCUUGUCAAGAGUGAUGAGAAUGUAAGAUUUGAUUUGGCUAAUAGAGAACGGUUUGUCAGAGGUGGUAGAUAGAUUGGUACGGGCCAUCGUUGAGAAUAGAGAGUAAUUAAAAAACAAAAAAAUAUAAAAAGAAAAACAAAAGGUUUAGAUGAGGAAG